AUAAUUACGUAAGAGUUAGUUUUUUAGGACUUUACAAGUAUUUAUUUGACUGUCCUUUUUGUAUAUGCCAGAUUGAAAACAUGAGCCAUAGCACCAGAGCUUCAGCUGUUCCUAUCAUACCUGAUUCUGAAGGGACCGAUUCAAAUCCAUUUGCUCUUGAUGCAUCAGCUGUUCUCAUGUUUCGUGUGCUUCGGUGAGUCAAUCAUCCGGGUAAUCUUGACAAGUCAUCUCCAAACGUUGGCUAUGUCAUGCUAAUGUUUUAUCACCUUUAUGAUGGAAAGAGUCGCAAAUAUUUAGAGGAUGAAUUGGUUGAACGUUUUGGCUGUCUUGUCAAGAUGCCAUUGCUGAAACCUGACAGGUGAGAAUAUUGGCACCGAAACUACUUAGCUACUUUAAUAAUUAUUUUACUCUAACAAACGAGGAACCAUCAAAAAGAAUGAGGGAGACU